GCCUUCGUGGUGCAAUGGUCAGCACGCUCGGCGCGAAUUCGAGAGGUACGUGUUUCGAGUCCCGCCGAGGUCA
rnacentral:tRNA from 1 species